rnacentral:lncRNA from 1 species
UUUUUUCCUUUUUCUUCUUUUUUUCCUUUCUUUUUUCUUCUCUUCUUCUCCUCCCUCCUUAUUAUUUAUUUAUUUAUUAUUUUAUUUUAUUGAAAUAUAUUUAGUUAUUAUCUUAAUUAUUUAUUUAUUUCUUUAUUCGUUCAUCCAUAGAUAUAUUUUUAUAUGCAUUUAUUUAUUUAUUUAUUUUUCUCUCUUUUUUUCUUCUUUCCUUUUUCUUCUUUUUUUUCUUUUCUUUUU